AAACUAAACAACCUUCAUGAGAGUGACAAAAGCAUACCUCUGGUCCAUAUGUAUCAGCUAUAAUGACUGGAUCUAACAGCCACUCAUUCUCUUUCGGGCACUUGACACUGACAACAUGGAAAAAAAUUCAGUAUAACAUCAUUUGGAGUAGAACAGAAGAACCUCUAGAAGAAGCUCUUGUUGCCGCUUGUAAUGCAAGUAUGCAAAGAGCUUCUCAUCUUCUUACAGUGUAUUCAAAUCAUUAACGAAAAGUAGGUAUAAAUCAUAUCUAUUUCGAACCAUCACCCUCACUAACAACGGAGUAAGUAUGCAAACGUAUUCAAAUCAAGUUAGAGUUACCUUGUGGAUAUCAAUGGUGAGCCCAUCUUCUCCAGAAUCGCUUGACAUAUGGGAUCAUCAGGCAUACGAACACCCACAUCUUUCCUUGAUUUGUAUUUGGCAUCUGCCAUCCCAUACCUUAUACAAUUUUUAGGUAGUUGUUUGGUUGCAGUUAAGAUGAAAGUAUACUGUUACACGAAAAGCUCUGUCAUAGGGCAAAUUUGAGGAAAAUACUGGACCACAAAUAUCAUAUGCUUUACAAUGUAACAUUGUCCAAAAUUUGUUCCUAGUUCCUACAGUUACAGGCAACAAUGAUUGUAAGAGAAGCAAAGAAGAAACUUACAGGGCCGGGUAUGCAUUGCUUAACAUAUCGGAACAAAUUUGCGUGACCUUGGCCAUCACCGCGGGGAAACCCUGUCGUAUAUGUAUCAAUGUCGUGGAAGGAGUGGCAUAAGAUGCCAAGGGGCUGCGCCAGCAACUCAGUCACGAAGACACACUAGUUAAAAACUAAAUAUCGAAAUCCGAAAGAACAAAAACAAAAUAAAACCCAUGAUGCUUUACCUUUAGAGGGUCGAUGUUCUUGAUUCUGCAACGAAACAAAGACUGCAUCUUUAACAACAAAUUGAUACUUUUGAACGAAUUCGAACAAUGGAGCUAAAAAAAUGAGAGGGUUUUACCGGCGAAGACGUUCAAUUGCCGAGUUGUUUCUCAAAUCACAGACUAAUGCAUACCUACAAUGCAAUUGCUGUUAAAAGUUACUAACUUUUCUUUCAAUUCGAGCGAUAUUCUAAUCUAAUUUAAACCGCGGGCAUUCGAACUAUGCUAAAUUUACAAACUUACACAGUAUCAGUAGGAACAACACCAACAGCUCCUUGUUUCAGAAGAUCAACAACUGGUUCCAAUUUCCAGCUGUCAGCUCCCGAUUGCGACGGAUCAACUUCAACGUAAAGCAUCUCAUCCUCCUGAUCAUAUCAUCACUUAAUCAAUUUCAUAAUCUUUGCAAAUUCACCCCAAAGUUUUGUUUAAUUUACAUUUCAACAGAGAGAGAGAGAGAGAGAGAGAGAGAGAGGACCUUGGUGAAGCGAGGAGCGGCGUAUUUGAGGCGCUUGGGGCUGCGCUUAACGGAGAGAGCUAAGACUUGGAAACGGCGGGGUUUCGGAGAGUCGAAGUAUACGCGGCCGAAAGUUGCAGGCGCCGCCGAAGACCGCGGGAAGCUGGAGGAGGAAGCUAGGUGGCCGCCGUUAUACACUUUCGUCUGGCAACCGUAACAGUACGCGGCCAUUAUCUCAAAUUUUGGAGCUUCUCUGGCACCGAAACGACGGUCGGAAAACGUCCGCCAGCGUAGUGGGCUGGUGGGCUGCUCUGCUGAGUUUUUCUCAGAAACUUUAACUAAAAGCUUCGAGAACGGUUUAUUUAACGAAAAAUCAUAUUUUUAUACUAAAAAGUCAAUUAUGAUACUAUUUACUUUAUCUUUUAUUUUUUCACUUUCGUUAAAACUCAAAGUUUUUAAGCUAUUUUUAUUAGUUUUCCUUUAUUCUUAGUUUUUUUUUUAAGUCUUCACUUUAGUCUCUUUAUCCGUUUAUGCAAGCCUCUAAUGUGGUGUUACUAAUUCACAUAUUAUUGGAUUCGUUUGAUUUGCCAUUCUCUGUGAAAAAUUAAAAUGCUUCAUGAAUGAGCUAAUAUGAUUCAAAAACACUUUUAAAAUUUAUCUAUCAGACGAGUUAUAAGUCAUUUUGUUUGGCGGAACAGACUUUUAUCUCUUCAAGUAGUCGUUAAUGAUCGUAAUCUAGGCGUGACUGCCAUAUUGGAAAAUUACUCCAUAGCUUAGACAAAGGAAAACUUAGAGUUUAACCUCCCAAAGUAUACAUCCAACCCCAGACUUUGGGCUUAAUUAACUAAUUUUCAGAUUAAGAUGAGCUUAAUGUAGUACUUUUAGCUUAAUUAAUUGCGUUAACCCAGCCGCAAGGAAUAAAAUAUAGGAAAAACUAAUGAAAAUAGCUUGAAAACUUUGAGUUUUAACUAUAAGGACAAAAUAAAGGGUAAAGUGAAUGAUAUCAGGAUUGACUUUUUAGUGUAAAAAUGUGGUUUUUCGUUAAAAUGAACAGUACCGAGAGCUUUUCGUUAAAAGUUCCCAAAAAUACAUAUUAAGAGCCAAAACAACAACAUCACAUACACAACCAAUUGACAUUCAGAGCUUAGGAGAAUAUAUAAUCACAAUAAGACAUAAAAUCUUAAUCAUGAUCGGCAUUUGAAACCAAGGAAUUGAAUCUGCAAACACAAACCAACAUCCACAAAAACUAGCUGCAAAAUCAUCACUUAUAUCUCACUCGAUAAAAUAUUCAACGUCGUUAAUCUAUUAUAUCAGUCACGUUGUCAUCGCUACUGUAACAGCUAACUAGAUCUCCAAACUGCCUUCCAGAGUACCAAAAGGUAUGACCAGUUACUGAUAUGCUCACUGCGGAAGCGGAGGAGGAGGCAUAUGGGACUUCGCAUAUCUGAGCCAAGCAAAAAUUCCGACACCAAGGAUUAUCCAACCAAAUAUGUCAUACUUGAGAUCGCUGUUCUUGUUUUUCUUUGUAGUCUGCAGAGCAAGGGGAGGAAGACAAAGUAACAAACCGUCGACAGAUCAAGUAGAAAUAAAAAGCAACCAUCAUAAAAGAUACGAGGACUCCGCUGUAAAUCAUUGAACAUGUAAAAAUAUCACGAUACUAGAUGGACGAAAAUGAAUCCCAAAUGUUGGAUACCAAGUGAUGUUGUUUCAAGUGAAACUUGUUUUACUUGCACUGAUGAAAUAGUACUGUAUCAUCUGUCUCAUUGCGUAAUAGUCAAAAUUUAAGAGUCUGGGACCUAUUAUUCGUAAUAACAUUCGUUUUGGACCACAAGUUCAAAUUCGAUAACUCAACAGAAGCAUGCAUAAGAAAUUAAAUUGGCAAAACGUAAAAACUUUUAGCAAGGAAAACACGAACAUAAAAGAACAAAGGUAUCGGAAAAAGGAACUGUGAGACGAAAAAAAGUACCUUUCCACCAAUUGAAGUAGAAGGUCCAGUUCCUGCUCCAGCAGCAGCCUCCAUCCCCAGUUGACCCAAACCAUGCUUGUGUAGAUCCAAGUGCAGUUGCGGGGCCUAUAAACACAGUAAUUAGUAACAUUGCGAUUUAGGUCUAACAUACAUAACAUAAACUAGUAGAGCAGAUAAAAGAGUAUAAGAGAAUACAGUUCUAGAAAUAUUGUAAUCAAGAACAACUGACAUCUCAACAAAACCAACCGACACUACAUUAAACCCGAGACAAUUUGAAAUUUCUAUGCACAGCUUGCUACCGCAAAAUGGAUGCUAACACACGAUUUCAACAACAAAACCAAGCAUUGUCAAGAGAUCAGGUUAGAAAGCAGUGCACCUUAGCAGCCACUUCCAAAGACUUUCGAUACAGAUCAUUUCCCGGCUCCUGUAAAAAGAACAAAAGAUACUUACUGCACAUCGAAAGUUGAAAAACAAUGCGGUAUGUUUUGAGAUUUUUCAGGGGAAGUACCUCAUCGAGAGCCUUCUGGAAACACUGAGACGCCUUUUGGAAAUAAACCCUUGCCUCUUUCUGGUCCGGAGUGAAAAAUCCGCGAGCAGUUUGAGCAUUUCCCAGGCACCACAGAGCAUCAUGUUUCCUAGGAUUAAUCUUCAGUGCCUCCUCCAGCUUCGAAAUAGCAUCUGGGCAAACAAACACAAACCCGCAUUUGCAAAUUCGAAACUCUCAAAUAACCACAUGAAAAACAGUCACAAAUUUCAAAUUUUCAAGGCUACCAGAUAAAUACAUGGAGAAUUCCAACAUCUAAAAUAAUUAAACCCAAAAAUAAACACAGACAUAUUGGGGAAAUUUAAAGAUAGCACCUUGAGUCAUCUUCUUUGACUCCAAAACAUUCUGAAACUGGGAAAGCUCCAGCAGAGCUCCAGCCCACCUCGUCAAGUUCUGCAAAUUACAAAAUACAAAAAACCCAGAUCAAAAUUUAAUUUCUUUGGAAAAAAAACUCGAAAGCUAGCAAAUUUAUUAGCUUAGAAAAAAUGGAAAAAAGAAAAAGGGGAGUGGCAAAUUAGGAAGAUAGAGAUAUAUACGAACAUCGGCAUCGAGAGGGUUCUUAAUGUAGGUGGCUUCCGAUAUCUUGCGGGCGUGUUCGAAGAAAAGAAUGCGAUCGAAGUCGUUGUGCUGCAAAUCCAUGGCACUGGAAAUUUGCCAGGGGUUUUGCGUGCUCUAUACGGAUAGUAGGGUUUUACGAGAUGCUUAGAGUGAGAGUGACGCCAUUUCACUUUUUUUUUGUUUUUAGAAAACUAACCAAAAGGUUUGAAAAAUUUAAGUUUUAACCAAAAAUCAUAUUGAAAGUUUAUUUAAUGGUUAGUACAAAGCCCAUUAUUAUAUCAGCCCAAAUACACUAGUCCAGAUUAAAUAAUAUUGUGGUUUGUCAAUUUUACCCCUAACGGAUAUGGUUAACCUAAUUUAACUAUUCUGUUAGAUUACUCGGUUUGGGGUUAGCCGAACAUAUAAACUAAUUGGAUUUUAAAUUUUGCCAACCAGUUUUAGUGGGAUUUUCAAUUUUUUUUUUCUUUCUUUUAAAUGAAAUGAGGUCACUCGUUUUUUAAGCGAAGGAUGAUGAAAUUAAGGUUUUGCCCUCGAUCAUAAAACCAAGUCGCAAUAUGAGAAUAGAAUUGGAUUGAACUGCCUGUCACGGCCUGAUAAAAAAGGUUUAAGCCGUUUCUUCUUUUUUUACUCUUUUUUCGUCUUCAAAAUUUUCUAGCUUUUUAGCUUUACAUGUUAAAAAAUUAUGACUACAAUAUGCUUUUUCUUUAAAAUAAAAACAACUAGAGUUGUGCUUGUACUUUUGUAAAACUGUCAGAUCAUCUAGCUAAUCACGUGACUCAAGUUAUAUCCAAUUUUUCUCUUGAACAUAAUAUCAUCCUUCGACUUGCCUAUCUCGAAUUUGAAUUUGGUUAUGAAGCUCCAUAAGCAUUUGAAACGCGUUCAUUAGUCUAUUACCUUCAAUUUGAUAGUUAUGUUGUUGCAUUAAGGAUUAUUUUAGUGUACUUGAGUAGGCGUUCUUAAGUAAGAAAAAUUCAUGAAAAACGUGAUAAAUUUGACCCUUUUGUAUCAUACACGCUCCAGUAGAAAAAAGAAAAACUAAAAAAAAAGGUUACAUUUGACUCAUUUUAAUAGACUAAGGGGCUUUUAAAAAUAAACUUAUAAUAUUAUAAGUUUGUGACAUUGAUAAUUGUUUACUAAAUAUAAAGUAAAAGAGGAGUGCCAACAACCUUUGCAUUUAGACAUUUUCACUUAUCAAAUACCACAGGUCAUUUUGUACACAAAAGGCAAGAACUUUUAAUUCUUUUAGCUAGAGAUUAAAGAUGAAAAGUAUAAAAUAAAAUUUCAAAGGCAUUAAAUGUCUUAUGUUUUGUGUAACGUUUGAGAAAGUAAACAAAAAUCCAAAUAUAAACGUUAGUGCUAAGUUUGCUACAAAAGCAUCCUAUUGUUUGACACUCUCCUUGUAAUAUUUAUUGCCGAUUUCAAAAGAAAGAGAGAAAUGUUAAAGGGACUAUUUGGCAACUUACAGUUUAACGUUAAUUUUCGUCUAAUAUUAUAAAAUAAUGUGAAAAAACAUGAGGUGUCAAAUAGUUUUAGAGAGUUUUUUUGAAAGUGUCUCAUUGACAUUUCUCAAAGAAAAAUAAAACUGUGGCACAUCCGUGCAAAUGAGGCACCAGAGUCCAAGCCAAUUUUGAAGCUCGGCCCAAAAUCAACUAUUUGAAGGGCUGGUCCAUUACAAUGCUCGUGAACCUUGAAAAGGCCCAAAACUUGAAGGAUUUUUUUUUUUUUAAUACGACACUUAGGAACAAGAGAAUUUUAACGAAACAUUCCCGAUACUGUUUAUUUUUUAACGAAAUUAGUUUUCUUGAGGAACAAUGUAUUUAUUUAAUUUUUGGCAAAAAGCGAUGUAUUUUUUUAAAAUAAAACGCUUUUAAUAUUUGCGAGACCUCACACGUUAUGUGGCAACCAACCCCACCAACCAUGUUAUAAAAUAGACACUGAAACAUAGAAUAUUGUUCAUAUAAAGUAUCGUACCAAGUUGAUGAUAUUUAAGCCGGCUUGGUCUGCAGCUCAACAGACAUAACAGGGGGAUUUCUUGUUGAUACUUUCAAAUCAAUAUUAUUGUAAUUUUAUUUGCUAGAAAGACAUAUAUUAUCUGGAUUACAAUUUAUAAACCAUACGCCAGCGAUUACAUAGCACAAGAUUCUUCUUUGAUACAUACGGUCUAAAAAGUUGAAGAUUCAAACGCAAAACCUCACAUAUAACAACAAACAAACUUAAUCACUUGGACGACAAAUUCAUAAUACUUGUCAUCAAGUAUGACGCAAGUCUUUGCCGAUACAAAAGCCAGAACAUUCCAACAACCGGUGGAAUCUAAUUUCGAACUCAUCUGACCCAGAAAUAAAACAAUAAAUAAAUAAAAAUUAGAAGUCAUGUCAAUUGGAUGAGCAUGUUGGGUAAAAGACGUGAAAGGUAGAAGCAGGGGAGUUGCUGACAAAGGACUACGGCCCGGCACAGGCCCCGCUGCUUUUGUCACCUUUUUCCCCAUUGGACUCAUCCCGUGCCAUUUGUCAAGCACACCGACUUGUUUGUUGGAAAGGAACCAAAUCCAUCAAAUUCAUUCAUCCGAGCCAUUGAAAUUUAAUUCAACAUCUAAAAUUAUUAUAAACCUCGUUUAUAGUCUACCUAUUCCGCUACACCGUGGUUUAUCAAAUAUAUGUGAUUAGGUAUAAUUGUCAAACCAUUUCGUUACACCGUCGUUUAGGUACCGUUUGGUACUUGGAAUGGGAAUGAACGGAGUGGGAAUGAACGAAGUGGGAUGAGACCUUCCGUCCGACGUUUGGUGCGCCUAAAACGGGUGGAAAGCGUUGUUCCACGUGACGAAUUUUGGGUGAAAUUUCGUUCCGCCUCACACUCUAGAACGACUCGUUCUACAUCCGUUGAACACAAAAUUAUAACCUUUUCGUCUCCUUCUUCUUUGUCCUUGUUUCCAUCCGAGGGCAUUUUUGCUUCCUCUCUCUUCCGUCCUAUUUUGUCCCGUCCCAUUCCGUUCCGUCUCAUCUCGUCUGCAUACCAAACGAUACCUUAUAGUCUACCCAUCUAGUUUCUUUCUUGGUACAUCUAGAUUGAAUUAAACCCUCGUAUUACAGUCCUAAUUCACUGUUUCCGUAUCUUUCACUAUGUAUGCUAAUUCUGCUAUCGUUUUGUCUCAAAAAAAUUAUUUCCAAACAAGUUUAUUGUUCAUGUCAGACAAACAAGAACAAAUCACGCAACCCACGUUGACUUAUAGCAACGAGGAUCCUCGUGGUAAGGAUUUUGGGAAUCUUCAAAUCGUGUCUGUAAAUCAUACAUUGUGCGGUAAGUUUUCGUUAGAUAUUGUUUAUGUUUAAUUUUAAAUAAAAGUAUUUAAAAAUUUUUAUAACCUUACAAUAUACGAUAAACGGACAUGAUUUGAGGAUUCCUAAGAACCUUACAAAAAUGAUCCAGAGAGGAUCCUCAUUCGACUUAUAGUUGAAAUUUUAUAACUUUAUCAUAAAAAAAUAUAUAAAUAUAAGUUUUCGGAUAAUUUAAGUAAUUAAUUCAAACAUUUUUUUCUUCAUGUUAUUCAAUUUCUCAUGCUGGUAAGUCACACGAUGAUACUUAAAAGGUUGAAAUGUCUAUAUAAAUAUUUUCGAACUUCAAAAUAAUGAACUACCGUAACAAAGUCACUGGUUAAUCUCCUAAAUAAACAAUGAAUCGUAUGAAAAAUCAUGUGAACCUUUCCAUGUAACCGAUACAUCCCAUGGAUCGUGACACUCAUGAGUCAUGCGUCGUGAGACUCAUGACCACAAAAAAAGAUUCAAAACCCCAAUUGGCAACAAAUGCAAUUCAGCAAACACUUGAGGGCAUUAUCGGGAAAGUGCAGCAUAAAUACAACACUAAAAGUCCAGCUGCUGUGCUGUCUUCUGUCGCGUCUUCCGAUUUCACAUCGCACGGCAGAUAAAAAAGGUAAAGCCUUCCCCUCUGAUCCCCAAAUCUAGGGUUCUUCUGACCAGUCGAAAAUUCACCAUCACUCCACAAAAUCAAAGCCCUCGAGCCCUCCGCUUCCUCUUUAAACCUAAAAAUUGAAGCUUUAUUUGCUUAAUCGCAGUUUAGUUGGUAAUUAUUGACUACAUUUCGCUAAUUGCAUAUCGUUCUCUUUAAUUUCUCUUGCUCUGCUCUUUUUCUUGUUUUAAUAUCAAAUGCGCGUUCUGGAUCUUUGAUUUUGGAGUUUAUAUGUUGAUUGGAUGGAUUUAGGUUUUUGUUAACUGAUUAGCUUAUUUUUUUUUUUUCACGAUUUGGAAUAAUUUUAUUUAUAUUUAUGUAUUUUGGUUGACUCUGUAGCUGCAAUUGUUGUUCCCUGCUUGUUUGGUUGGCUGGAAAAUGGUGUUUCUGGGUCUUUUAGGUUAAUUUUCUAUCGCGAGAAGUCUGUGAGGCAAAAUUCGAAAGCUUCGUUUUUUGAGCCUUCUGUUUAUUUUCAAAUACUUCAAAUUUUGAGAUUUAAAAAAAAAAAAAAAUUGGAAAACACUGAGAAAUGGCUUCCCAUGCCAGAUUUUGUAGUGGAUGUGUGUUUCUGCAAACCCAAUUAGUAAUACUUUAGGAAGCCAAAUUGUUAAAUGAAUUUUAGAGUUUCAAACUUUUUAAUGUGAUUUUAAGAUUUAAUAUUUUAACAUUCCAUUUUUAAAACCAUCCUUGCAAAAAUUUGGUUAAAUUCUAAACUUAGUUACUGGGAAGUCUUUGUUUUCCUAAUUUUAAAGGCAUAAAUGUCCUUUCAUAAAAUUAUUUUCAUUUAAACGUGUGCAGUCUUUCCCAAUUCUGUGGUUAUGCAGACUCAGCUUCAGAGAUUUGUAUAUGGUUAUUUUCGGUAUAUUGAUAGCAAUAUCUCAAAAUUAUCUUGUUAGACUUUGAAUAUUGAGUGUCUGCGAUAAACAGCCACUGAAAUAAAUUUGUUUAAGAUUUGUAUUUUUUCUAUUGAUUAACAGUCUGCAUUUAUAAAUGGUAAUAUAGCGUGCUGAUUCCAACGCGAAGGUUAUUAUUAUCUUAUCUGCCAAUUGAUCGCGUAUAUCUUUAUUUUCAUCCACUUCUCAAAGUUUUUCAAGCUUGUUUCUCUUGCUCAUGUAUAUGAUGGUGCCACAACUCUCUCUUGUGAAUAGAUUAGCUGUUUUAUUGAUUCCCUUAUCCUCUUUAAUUUCUUUUUUGGGUUUUGGGGAGGGGUGGGUUGAAUUCUUUUCUCAAUUUAAGUGCAUUAAUUGAAUGCAGCAUUCUUGUUUCUUGUCAAAAAAAAAAAAAAAAAAAAAAUUAGUAGAUUUCAUGUUUUGGUAUGCCUGCGAUCCAAUUGUGAAUGUUCUCUUUUGGUCUUGCUUAAUUUGUGGAAUCUGCCAUUAGUGCUUGUUAAUCAAAGUUCCUUUUGGCAUUUGUAUAGUUAUUACUGCCUUUGUGCAAUUUUUUUAUUGGAUAAGCUUUUCCUAUGAUACAUAUUUGCUAUAUGUUUUAACAUUUUAAGUUUAACUGGUUUCCUAUUCUCAACCCCAUUUUUAAGUUUUCUAACUCAUCUAUUAAUUUCUUUUUCUUUGAACACUGUUUUACAGGAUCUGUUGAUCUGAGUAGAGUUUGCAAGAUGGAGAGCUUGAACAGCUUUUGGCAAUUGGGUGAUGAGCUCCGAGGGCAGUCAAAAGUCGCAGAAGAUCACAAAUGGUUAAUGGCUGCUUCAAAAUUGGCUGAGCAGACAAGGGUAAAGGGCGAGCGUAUGAAUAACCUUGAUCUUUCAAAGGGCCCAGCUGAACAAAGGGCAAGGGAUAAAUUUGGGUUCCAGGAAGAUAACAAAUUUGAAGGCCAAUACUUUAACAUGCUGAGCUUGGAUUCUAAAGUAAAUGAAAAUGUGAGCAAAAGUUCCUUCAGGAAUGGUAUUUAUAACAUGAAUGCAGUUUACCAGAAGAACAAUGCAAGCAUUGUGGGAAACAUGACUGGUAACAAGUACAGCAACAAAGAAAUCAACAACAGCAACAAUAACAACAACGAAUCUGCAAAUACAGUUGAGAAAAGGUUCAAGACCUUGCCGGCAACUGAGACGCUCCCUAGAAAUGAGGUGCUUGGAGGUUACAUCUUUGUAUGUAACAAUGACACAAUGCAGGAAGAUUUGAAGCGACAACUAUUUGGUAAGUUUGACUAAUUCUUAGCUCACUUUAGAAUCUGUUUUCACGUUUUAAACUUUUUUUAUAAGUUAAAUUUCAGUCUACAACUUAAGGUCCAGGUAUAAAUGACUGACAUCUAGCUGGCAUUCCCUGCACGAUGCAUUUGCAAUCUUUACUGAGAUGCUAGUUCAUGUAAAGGGUCCUUGAAUUUAUGCCAGUGCUUAUUAGGGAUUUCCAUAGGGAUCUGAAUUCUUAAAAGUUAUAAGUAGGAUUAUGAUAUAUCGGACGAAAUGAUUUAUGAUUUUAGUAUGUAUUCCUCUAGCCAUGCAACUUAAUUACUGAGAUAACAAUAAAUGCAGAUUAUGCUUUUGAAUUAUGUAUUUAUAUUCCUUCUUUGACACUCCCAAGUAAUUCUCAUGUGUAUUAAUCAUUAUAUGUAUAUGGUAGGUUUACCUCCAAGGUAUAGGGAUUCUGUUCGGGCAAUAACACCAGGCCUGCCGCUGUUUCUCUACAAUUAUACGACACACCAGCUGCAUGGCAUUUUCGAGGUUUGUUCUCAAACUUACCAUAUAGUAAUAUUCUUAUGUCAAACUUUUGUCUGCAAUAUUCUUUGCAGUAUAGAAAGUAUGCAGAUUGGACUAUGAUAUUAGCUUAUUUAAGUAAGGUUGUUGUGAUAUUAUUAGCUUAUUGUUCCUCCUUUCAAUUGGUUUUGUGCAGGCAGCAAGCUUUGGUGGUUCAAACAUUGAUCCAACUGCUUGGGAAGACAAGAAGUGUAAAGGCGAAUCUAGGUUUCCUGCUCAGGUAAAUUUGAAACGAUAAAGUGGAAAGUUCUGUUUCUGUCGAUUUUUUGCACUUAUCCAAUUUAUUGAUGGACACCGUCUCCCUUUGUUAUAAUUGAUUACUAGGUAAGGAUCUGUGUUAGAAAAAUCUGCAAGGCUUUGGAAGAAGAUGCCUUCAGGCCAGUUUUGCACCACUAUGAUGGUCCCAAGUUCCGUCUUGAGCUGUCAGUUCCUGAGGUAUGACGGCUAAGUCAUCGCCUGCAUUGUUUUUUAAUGGUUUAAUUGUAAUUACAUCGUAUAAACUUCAUUUGAUGUUUUAAUGAUUUUGCAGACCCUGGAGCUAUUGGACCUAUGCGAACAAGCGGGCUCUGCAGCAUAAGCUAAAUGUUGGCAGCAAUAUGUCGAUGUAGUAGGUUUUUGUGGUGCAUGUCAGCUGGUGUGCUUUCAACAGAUUUUCCAUGGAGCGCAAGCUUGGGGGGUUAAGUCUGGUGGUUUUUUUUCUUUUUUUUCCUUUAUCGUCUGGAGUUACAUAGUGUUCUUGUGAGUGAGCGCUGCUGAAUAAGUGAUCUCGUCUCGUGAAGUUGCUUGUUUUAAGUUGUACAACACUUGAUAGCUUUGAUAACGAUGAAAAACAGUCGGAAGAUGUAAAAGAGAACCGACUGCGCUGUCGCUGUGUAAUGUAAUGAUAAAACCUCCUUAAGGUCAAGUCCUUAGUCGAUGGUGUGCCUCUAAUUUGUACCCAUAAACUUGAGUUUGGGAUGCCCAUCUCUUGUUCCUAGUGUUGGUUUUUGGUAAAAAUAAAGAGCAUCUACCAUGUUGUUUACUAAUGUAGCUUCUUCUAGUUCAAUGCUUGCUUGCCUUUGUGAUUCUUUUCGGCGGAGUUUUAACGAGAUAUUUCCGUUCAUUUUAACGAAAAAUCACAUUUUUACCUUUUUUUGGUACUAUUCAUUACAUUUUUAUUUUUCAUUUUUUAUUAGAACUAAAGUUUUUUUUUAUUUUUCAUUAGUUUUUCUUUCGGCUCAAUUGUUUGUGAAGCGGAUGCACGCAAUAACUGUAACGGUAGCAUUGCCUGAACCCUAAACCCUAAUCUAACGUCUGUUAAUCAUGUAUAUGCUAACUUUUGUACUACUUCGAUAGAUGUCAUCCUAGUUUUGUUCCGUUCACUAACAAGGAAUUAAAAAACAGAGUAAUUAGAAUCUCCUACAUUUUCUUCAAUGAAAUUGAAAAACGAGGCGCCUAUAUCAAAAUGCCUCUUAAAAAAUUGCUGCCAAGUUAGCCUUCUAUAUGCACUAACAUAUCUAAGAUGCAAAAUAUAUUAACAAGAUAUAUACUACCCAUAAUUUUAGUAUCCAUUCAACCACUUGCAUAUAUAAGAGAUAACCAGAACACCAAAUCCAGCCGAUAUAUAGUAGUGCUUACAUAUUUAAUCUACUUUUAAAACCCUCAAACAUGCAUCGAUCGAGUAUCCUGAGCCCUCCAAAUGUUGUUUUAUUCGAAAUGCGCCAUGUUGUCGAAGAAUACGUUGUCGUAAAACAUGUGCUGUGAUUGAAAUGCACCAAACUGUUGAUCGUAUUCGGAUGACAAACCAAAAGCACUGCUGAAAUCGGACACUCCAGAUAACUCGGCUGCAUGGUUAGCGAAAGCAUUGGCUGAUCGUACGAAACGCUCAACGGAACAAUGCCAAUAGGGUUAGGGUUUUCAACACUUGGAACGACUGCUGCCUCUUGUUGUUGAGAUGCAGCACUUGAAAAUAUUGAGUCGUACAUGCAUGGCUGCUGCUGCAUGGGAUUACAGAAAGUUGCGUUCCCAUCCAUAUUUCCAUAUGGCGCAGGAAUAUCCCACGUAGAUGUUCUGAUGUUGGAGUUGGAAAUAGUAGCUGAAGAACAAAUGUACUGAAUGUUGUUGUUAUUAGCCCAGGAUGUGCCUGCAGAUUGCAUCUGAGAAUACUCUCGGUUGCUUUUAAACGUGGCCUGCACAUUAUUUUAAAAAGUAGAUUAUUGUUAAUUUCGAGUUUUGCCAGCUUUGAUUAAUUAAUAACGCUUAGACCUUGGUCUUAAGCAUUGGAUUGGAUUUGAUAACUCGCUAAAGUCAUGCAUGCUAAAUGAAAAAACAGAUGCCGACUUCCAAAACCCGUCCAAUCUUCACGAAAUUGUUAUGACGGAAAAAUUUCGUUCAUGGCUAAUCCAUCUUAAUUAUAUAUCAUACCUUCAACAAAAUUUGAAUGUUAACGACAAUUUCCUCCUUCAACAUACAUCAAAUUUAGUUAGUUAUCUGAUCAAUUAUAAUCCUAGAUGCCAAAGGAGGCCCUAAAAACUACAAAACAAAAAUUCGACAAAGAUUUGGUAAUUAAAGGCACUCACCUUUGGUGGUAUUGUCUCUUGCACAACAAUUUGCUUUGAUUCCUUCAUCAUGCCAUGCAUCUUGUGAGUAUCUACAAUUUUGUUCUCCAAAUUUUUCAAAAGGUCGAGCAUUUGUUCUACUGAAAACGCAUCGAGACGAUCUUCCCAUGCAGGAUACUUCUCUUCACAGCUCUUGCUGCGUAGCUUCCCAAACUCCUCCUUCACUUGAACCGUUCGCGUGGCAUAGAAGUCACCCAAACUUUGGACCUUCUUGACCUUUGAUGAAUUUGAUUUGUACAUAUCAAUUAUUUCCUUGACAUCUUUAAAUUCCGCAGGGAACGUUGCUGCUCUGCUCACUUUACCCUUGGAUUUCUUCUCGUAAACGAUCGUACACACCUUCACAUCACAAAGUGUGUGUAAUUCAACCGCCUUCUUCAACAAUCCGUUCCUUCUCUUUCGAAAAGUAACCUUACGCGAACUUUCGUUCGGAAUUAACUCCAAAGGUAACUUUGAUUUGCUUCGACCCAUGUUAGUGUAAUUUUUUGAACCGAUGCAGAAAAAUGGAGUUUUAGGGUUCUUUAGGUCAUGGUUGUUUAUAUAAGAGAUUUGAGAUUUCCUUUGAUCACAAAAAAAGGUAACAAAAUCUUUCUGAUUGAUUUUUAUUGUUUUACUUUCUUUACUGAUACAUUAAUCAUUGAUUAAUCACCAAAAAAAUUUCUUCGAGAUACCAAAUCUUCAUUCUUUCUUAUUCUAACAUCCACCAUUAAUUAAGGAGUUGACUACAAUAUUUAUUACAUUUAUCUAAUACAAUCACCAUACGACCAUCAAAAAUAUUCUUGUGAACAUAUGUAAAAAGAUUUUUUGUAAACCUAAAUUUCGUUUCUGAACACUCAAUUUACAAUCACCAUAUAACGGUCAAAAAUACUCUUGUGAAUUUAAAGAGGUUUUUUGUACACCCAAAUUUCGUUUUUGAACACUCAAUUUAGAGUUUAUGUGUUUAUCAAACAAAUUAGAAGUUUGAGCAUCUCCAUGGAUGGAUUUUCCAUGAUAAACUUGAUAAAUGUAGAAACUUGAUAGAAAAUAUAAAUGUUAGUUUAAGCUGCUUUUGCGUAACAUCAAUUAAUUUUACAAUUCUCCCAGAAAAAAAAAAGAAAGAAAAGAAAAGUUGCCUCCCGCCGCCCUCCAGGCUAUUCACUAGUGAGCUUCAUUCAGAAAAAGCUUAUCCAUCACCACCACCAUCAUCAUCAUACCCCUCGAUUGUCACAAUCAGGAACCACACGGUGCAUCAAAGAGCUGCUGACACGAGAAAUGUACGAAUUCUUUGCAAAAGCUCCGCCUUCACGGAAUCGGGGACGGAGGCUGUGUGGAAAAGAGCCGAGACAAACUUACAACUGUUAGAGCAACACAAUGGAAAAAGAAAUAUAUAGCAAAUUUAAACAGUGAGAUCAACUGAUUCGAAGAUACAAAGAAGUGAGUACUAAUUGGCAAACGGGGGAUUAACAUCUGGUUCACAUGAAGCUGGAUGAAAGUAUGUCAAGGUCGAAUGAGAUCCAGGUAACUUGAAUCUCUUUUAAUUCCAAGACUACUUUCCUUGAUUGUCAAUAUACGUACGGUCUGUUUCAUUUCAUUUUCCCAGAUGAAGCUCAGUCUCACUUAAGAGAAGAUAACAUUACGAAGGAACCGAUUAAUUUUGACUACAGAGGAUAAGUGUAGUAUUAGUAAUGCCAAAACAGAAACCUCGCUCGAGCUACAGUGAAGGGGUUUUAAUGACCCUGAUGAUCAGCAUCACAAGAAAACAGCCACACCAUGACCACAAGGUCCAGAAAACCACCUUCCCUGGCUCUGACAAAACCCACAACUGCGGGCUUGUAGCUUCCUAACCCACCUAUUCUACAGAAUACGAGACUACCACUCUGACCUGCACCACCCACCCGACUUCGUUACAAAUGCUCAAAAACACCGUCAUCUAGACAAUCCAUACUCCCUCACGAACACCACCAGCCCAUUUUUACAGAGACGUCCAACUACUCCCACACCAUCCAUCAUGCUACCUGCUCCCAUGAAGACACCAUCAUCUAUUAUACUCUCAAUACUACCUUUGCAUUACGCACACCAAACACAGUAUGCCAUAGGAGAAUUGGUAAAAUAAGACGUGGAAGUUUUCCACGAAGAUGAUAUUUUUAGCAAAUUAUGUAGACAAACAAGGCCUUUUAUGCAAACCAUUGUGAGUCUGAGACAAUCAGAAGAAUAUGAUGAAUGAAAGAAAGAGUUACCUCUGCCCUUUGGGGUCAUUACAUGUACAAGAUCAUCAACUGUAACAUUGUUCCUCCCCUUUUUCUUUAUAAACGCCCUAACGAUAAAAAGAUAUUAAAAGAUGCUCAAUUAGCAACCUUGAUAUGUGAACACUUGGUUGAGUGCAUGAAAAACAUUAUGGUAUAUAUACAGAAACGAUUUUGCAACAUAGAAAGUAAUGAAUGAUUCAAUGUACGAGUUAUCAAAUAGUUCAUGACUGAAGCUAUCUUAGCAUCCAAUUCCAUUUGCAGACAUCAAGGCUAGAACAGUUGGCUUUUGCAUACAAUUAUAAUAUCGAGGUUGCUGUAAUCCCAAAGACAAGAUUCAGCUUACACAACCAUCGAGUCCCUAGGACCAUGCCGCAACCUCCAAAAGGAAGAAUGCGGAAAUCAGCCAAAAUCAAUUGCCUUGUAGAGUAAAUACCACCAUGACCUCAAAACAAUCUUGUCUGAGUGUAUGACAACGAAGCCUGGGUAAAUUUACGAGUGUUGCUUAAAUUGACCAACAUUGUAACUGGGUUUGUUGAAUUUCUAACAAAUGUCAUACUUUUGAUGCAUCACAAAUCCAGUGAGGGCGCAUUUUAAAAGAUUUCCAAUUGUCCCGCACCUUCAGGUUCAUAUGACAAGACGAUAUAUAUUCUAAACUACACUGGUUUGGGGGGAGGGUGAUUCGAACUUGGGUGCAAGAGGGCGGGAACACUAUCCAGGUCAACUCGCCUAACCCACAUCAACCUCGAAAUUACUAAUCAAACAACAAAACAUUGAUGUUUACUGAAUUUCCAUACAGUAAUUUAUGAAUGGAUCACAGAAAUACCUGCAAAGAGCUUUCAUUUCAUCCUUCCACCCGCACUCUAUCAGCCUUUCCCUCAGAAGCUCCAUUAACCUCUCCUUUUCCCCGCUCUCAAUCAACUGUAAAAACCAGGCAGUAAAUUCGAACCAGAAACCGGAAUAAUCUAACUCAGCACAGUAAAAUCAACCCCCCAGUUCCAAAAAAGAAAUAAAUAACUAUAACAAUUAAUUAAAUUAAAAUAAAACACCGCACCUCGAUGUUUAUAAGCUCUUGACGAGUGGGCUCUUUUUCUUGAUUUUCUGCAACAUCCGGCGUCGGUGGACGAUUCACAGAUUUCCUCCUUAAUUUUCCAACAAAAUAUGAAGAAAAUUACACUAAAAAUCCGUUCUUUUUCACACAAAAUUUGCAAAAUACAAAUUAAAAAAAAACCCACAAAUAAUAAAAUCGUAUAAAACCCACAAAAUUUGCUAAAAUUUUAAUUCAUUAAAUUUUUUCCCGGGAAAGUUUUUUCCACGAAAGCAUGAAAAACCCUAGCUAGCUGAGCUCAGGGUAGGGGACUGACAUGGUCUUAGGAAUCGGAGACCAAGUAAAUCUCGGCCGUCGAACACUCUGCGACUUGAAGGAGGAAGGUAGAUUGAUUGAUUGAUCAGGAUUAUUGAUGAUGGUGAAUGAACGAACAUCUCAGAACUGGUUAAACUGCAAAUAUUUCGUCUCCUACAGUCAAACUGUGGUGCAGGUUUAAUAUUGGGCCCAUGGGCCCUUUCUUAUCGAAUUAUAUUGGGCUGGGCUCUGAUCACAAUUUAUUUCUUCUUGAAUACUACUAGACCCACUCUAGUGUCUUAUUUCUCGAUUAUAAUCUCACCCAUCACAAAAAGUUAAAAACUUGAAAUAUUAUAUUCCCAUCAAUGAUUAUUCCUAAAAUAACUUUAUAUUGAAAUUCUUUUUAUUUUGAUUUUGAUUGAGUAAAACAAAAUCUACAAAGACACAAUUCAAUUGAUCAAGAAGUACAACGAGAAUCGCAUCUAUACAAUAUAUUUUACAUAAUUUUCGACGUCUUCUCCAUCUUCCAGCAUGCCACCCGCCUCGAGAACACCGUGUUCCACUUUAUUUGCGCCUGCCACAACAAUCCAUAUGUGGAUUGUGGACAAACAAGCCUUUAUCCCAGUUUUCAAGGCUGUUUGUUGGUACUGACAACAAAAACAAACAUAUCAAAUUAAAAUGGCCAAAGGUACUGGGGACUUGAUUUUUUAAAGAUUUAGAGAUGUGGGUUGUUCUAGAAGAUGGAGAAGAACGAACCUAUCAACCUACAGAGUAGGGAUUUUUCUUUUCUUUGGUCUUGGAUGUCAUUUUACAAAAGAGGAAAUUUGGUAUUAAAUUUUUGGAUUAAUUAGAUAAAAGCGCUCCAAUUCUACAUCUUAUAAAUUAAACAUUUGUGGGUUUUCAACUGUUUAUUAAAACGCUUUGUAUUUUGAUUAAGGUGCUUCCAUCUUUAUUCAUGUCAUUUUUUAAUUUCCAACUCAUCAUUUUGAGUAAAUUUUAAAGAAAAAAAAUGAAAAUAGGAGUUAUUUAUAUUGAAACUAAUCAGAUCUAAAAUCCCUAAAUUCGUGGAAAGAAAAUAAGUUUGAAAAUUAUGAUUAAGUCAUUAUCCCAAUAAUUAAUUGUUAAGAAUUUGAUAUAAUUAAUUUUCAGUACAAAGUUUUAAUUUGAAAAAUUCUCUCUUUUUUAAGGGUCAUAACGUACCACUAGAUUGUACGUACCAAAGUUAGGCUAACGCAUUGUACCAAUAACAUGGUACAUACUAAAACAAGAAUCACAUAACGUACCAAAAUUAGUAAUCUAUAAUGUACCAAAAUAUUAAUACGUACCAAAACUAAGAUUAUAUAAUGUACCAAAUAUGUGCCAAGUUAUUGAUACGUUAUGUUUAAUACAUAUGUGCAUUCAUAUAUCAUGUCCAUAAUUGGUACGUUAUGUUUAAUAGGAUGUUAGUUGUAUUUUUAGAAUUUUAAUGAUAUUUUUUAUUUGAGUAAUGAAAAGUGUCGUUUGAAAUGAAUUAUGGGAUAGUAUAUCUCCUAGAUUUUAGGAUUUAGGUGAUAUUAAUUUGUCAUUUAUUGGUAAACCAAAUAUAUGUAAUUUUUGUUAUUAAAAAUUAGAUAAGAAUGUUUGAUCAAAAGUCUAAAAACUAUGGAUGUUAAAUCUAAGAAUUUCAAAAUUGAGGCACCUAUAUUGAAACACCCCUAAAUUUUUUUAUUAAAAGAUGGUUGGAGAAAUAUAAAACAGUGGGGUGGGUUAAUCAUCCCUCUUCUUCUUUUUCGGCCUGGUUUUCUACCCCUUUUUUAGUGACUUUUUACCGUCUUUGACCCUACCCGGGAUAAAAAAUCACGAACACCGGUCAACGAAAGCGAAAUGGCGCCGAAGGACCACCAUAAGAACGGCUGUGGACACAAUCGUACAAUCGGUGGAGGUCUGUACAACGCAUGCCCAAUCCCUCCAAUUAGACCUCCCUAAUCAGCAAACAUGGAGUUUAGAUUUUAAUAUUCUCCUCCGCAGUUGCUUUCCUGAGGCUCCGUCUCUGCGCUUCCAUGGCUUCCGCCGCCGCGCCCUGGAUCUCUUCCCUCUGCCUGACGCAGAACCCUAGUUCUCUUAGUUUUAGCUCCGUGGCUUCGGAUCAUUUGCGGUUCGGUUCGCCCACCGUCGAAUUCGCCGCCGUCAAGAAGUACCGGAGAGUUGGAAUUAGAGGUCCUGUGUGCAAAGCUGCCUCCGUUGUGUUUAGCAACCUCGAUGCCGAUGAUUUUCGGCACCCUCUGGAUAAACAGGUGCGAUUUUACUGGAAAGUGCUUUUUUACUAUGAACAUGUAGAAAUUUCAUUCAAAAUUUAAGUGCUUUCUGGAAAAGCACUUGGGAGUUCUUUUUGAAGAAGCAUAACGUUGCAAGUGCUUCUCCAAUCAGUAUUGUGUUUGAGGUUCUUUUCUCGAAAGUGCUUCUACGAACUAAUGCUCUUUUAAGGGGCUGCUUUUAAAAUGUCUGAAAGCGUUUUUGGGUAAAUUGAUUUUGAGUUCCAAAAGCACUUUAAGUACUUUUUGAAAGAAGCAUCAGAUAUAUGCUUCUUACAGAAAGCACUUAAAGUGCUUUUCCAGGAUCUACUUAAUUUUUUACUAAGAAUUGGUGUCAAAAACAUUUUCACCAAAAGCGGUUUCAGUCAUUUUAAAAGCACAUCCAAACGAAUCCUAAGUUAUCAUCCAAUCGUGGUCAAAAGUGCUUUUGGUUGUGCAAAAACACACUCUCUUUCAGAAGAUGUCAAAAACAUGCAUGUAUAUUGUAUGUUCAUUUUUAUACUUGCAUUUGUAUCUUCAGAUUAAAAGAAAGGACGCAAGCUAUGCACAAAAGAUUUGUUUUUGGUGGUUAAUUAUAUUAUGAUUAGCAUCUGAGUGUAAAUUUAUCAACUUUUUCUGCAGAACACGCUGAUUUUGAGAGCGAUUCCGGGAUUGAAUGAGUUUGGAAAGAUUCUGCUAGGUAAUAUUCAUCCAAUUUGGGUAGGAUUAAACUUGUGUAAAAUGGUGUGUUUACUAAUUUGUGCAUAUAUUAUUUUAUGAGCAUUGCAGGAUCUGUUGCAGAGCAAGUCAUGCUUCUUGAGAACAUCGGAACGUCCCUUCUUGUUUCGAAAGAUCAGGUUGUCCAGUUGCGGAAAAUAUAAGCAGAAAACUUGUUCUUCUUUUGCAAGUCCAGGUUCUGCAUUAAAGUUAAUGUCAUCAGCUUAUGAAUUUCCUUUCUUUUUAUCAGCUUUCUGGUCUACAUCAGUUGAUGGUGGAGGCCGCGGAGAUUCUCAACAUAGAUGCUCCUGAUUUAUACGUUCGUCAAAGUCCUGUACCAAAUGCGUAUACUUUAGCAAUAAGUGGUAAAAAGCCGUUUGUUGUUGUUCAUACUAGCCUCGUGGAGCUUUUGACACGAGAAGAGCUGCAGGUGAUAAGUUAUCUCUUGGAUUUUAAUUGUUUACUUUGUGUUUUAAAGUGUUACCCUUAUCAUUUCUUGGUUCUCAGUUAACUUCUGCUGUUUAACUUGAAAUUAGGCUGUUUUGGCUCAUGAGUUGGGUCAUCUGAAAUGCGACCAUGGUGUGUGGCUUACAUUUGCAAAUAUUCUUACCCUCGGAGCUUAUACAAUACCUGGUUUGAUACUAAUAUCCUUGGUUAACGUUUUUCGGUUACUUGUGUUACGUUUCAUUCAUUCAUUGUGUUUGAUAUGUUUGAAUACUUGUGUUAUUCAUAGGGCUUGGUGGGAUGAUUGCUCAGAGGUUAGAAGAACAGUUAUUUCGUUGGCUUCGAGCAGCAGAGCUAACUUGUGAUCGUGCAGCUCUUCUUGUUGCACAAGACCCAAAGGUAUACAACCUCUGGAAGCUACAUGUUUUCGAAUAAACUAGUUGUUUCAUAUUGGUUAUCUUGAUACCUGAUAUCCAUUUUGAUGUGCCCACAAGAGGUGGUCGUCUCUGUUCUAAUGAAAUUAGCUGGGGGCUGCCCAUCUCUCGCUGAUCAACUAAAUGUGGAUGCAUUUUUGGAACAAGCUCGCUCCUACGACAAAGCUUCUUCAAACCCUGUGGGGUGGUAUAUAAGGUAAGUGACAGCAUACGUUUAUCACCCUUUGUUAGGUUAGGUACAUGUUGGAUUUGCCUGUUUUAACUCAUGCUCUCAUGCUCUCAUGCUGUCCAGAAAUGCUCAAACGAGGCAACUUUCACAUCCUCUGCCGGUUCUACGUGCUCGUGAAAUUGAUGAAUGGUCAAGAAGUCAAGAUUACAAAACCCUUCUGAACCAGGCAACACGGGUCGCUGGUGCAAAGAAGGGAUUAACAACACCUGGAAAGAUAAAGUCAAAAUCCAUAGUACCGUGAAAAGGUGUCGCUUCUUUUCUCUGUUUCAUUUCCACUGUACUUGUCUUUCGAAUAUAUAGUCUCACGGGGAAUUUAGGACACGUCCAAAAGGGGAAAAAUUUAGGACACGACCAAUCAACUUUGGCAUGCAUGUUGUGUUCUACUUUCGUUUUGUUAGACGUCUUUGUUUGUUAUAUAUGUUAAGUUUCUCCUUUCCGUUUCAUUUUUGUAGCCCUCUGUGUGCUUCUCAUGGCAAAGAACUCAGGGAUGUGCUAAGACUUCAUCUGCUUUAAAAGUCUUGCUGCAACUAAAUUCUAGAGACCGAAGAUGCACGAGUAGUAACUCGUAAGCUGAGUACUUUCGCCUGUCCAUCUUGUGCAAAAGUCAUAUACAUAUAGGUUCUCAAGUCAUACAGUUAGGUUGUUUAUAAAUCAGAAACUUUUAAUUUGGUAAUUACUGGACGGAGUCAGGCUCGCUGAUUCUUCUUGUUUCGGUUAAAUAAACUGUAUAUACAUCAUCUACUCCUUUCUUUGUUGUAUCAAAAAUUUUUACUCGUAGAAUUACUUGACAUGCCUGUUCAGCACGCUCUGUCGAACCUGCUGCAGUUUUGACCGUUACGAGAUGUGCUCCUAACAUUUUUAUGUACUGAAACUUUUGUGUUGAAGCAUAGAAGGGGGAAAACAAGAAAAGAGUGAGUGUUCGAAAAGUUUGUUGUUGCUAGCACUGUUUCAAGCCGAAAUUUCGGGGGCAUGAUUUGCAUGAAGUUAGCUUCUUCCCUAUAAAUACCUUGCCCUUUCAGUUAACUAAAACACACACACAAAUUUCCCGUUAGUUUCCUUAGCAAGCAUGGCUUCCACCAUUUCCCACUUUCCAGCAUUCUACUCUGCUCUAGUUUUCCUUCUCUUUCUGAACGCCCUCAUUCCUCUUGAUUGUGCUUCAGCUCAUCAACCAUCGCACGUCGUCCCUCCUAAGCCGCCACCGCGUUCUGCCUCGGCUCCGGAUGGCAGAAUUCCUCUGAUGGGAACACCGCCGACUCCUGUUCUGUGCGACGAGGAGGCACCUAUUCAACAACAGCCUGCGUCUCGGAAGCUUGGGGUUUAACUUUAACAUGGAAGAUGAAUGAUGAACCUAUGCCGUUUAAUACUAUGAAUAAUAAUACCCACUAAAUAAUCGACUUUGAUCGACUUGUAUUUUGAUAGCUAAUAAGCAGCUGGAUGCUGAAAACUUGAAAUCAUACACAUUUCCAUGCCUAAGGUUGUUUCUUCAAAGCGUUUUGGCAUUAAAAUUGAACUUGGAUCGGUUUUGGGAAUUUUUGCAAGAUUAAUUAUAAGC
rnacentral:lncRNA from 1 species